rnacentral:lncRNA from 1 species
CACCAUCAUCGUCAUCGUCAUCCGUCCCUUUUGGAGGCGAUCCUGUUUAACCAUCCCAUAAGUCUAUAAGGAUCCUGAGUGGGACAACGUCUGUAGACCUCAUUUGGCCCUGGGUUCGGAUCCGAUCCCCUAACUGGGCCAGAAGUUUCCCCUGAAGCCUGUGCCGAGGAACCCCUGAUCUCUGCUUGCCGCUGUGUCCUGUCCCCCCAGGGCUGGUUGUUUACCAUCUUCCGUUAUCACCCUUCGUUGCUUGACUCUCCACAAGUCCCUCUUCAGUGUGGGCUGAAAUCUCCCUCUGGAGCUUCCGCCUGAGGCCACGAAGAUCACAUGGACUGCCUUACCCGAGACAGCCCUUCACACGCUGUCUCCUCCACUGAGACGACUCUGCUGCCCGUCAAACGGUCCUGGUACCUCACCUGGGCCUCAGAGGACCCCCACCUCUCCCCGCCCCAACACCCCAUCUGUGGUGCACCAGUUGGUCCUCCUCUGUGGACCUUGUCCCUGGGCACUGGAGACCAGGAGCAGACGAGACAUUUCUCCCCUCGGAAUGGAACGGGUUUUUUAAAAAUAGCAACUGAAUCAUGUUUCCAUUAUCAGCCUUUGGAGACAACUUUUCAUACACUUGGCUUUGAUCCGUGGUGAUCAAUGAGUUCUCUGCACCCUGAUCUGCUUCACAUAGUCCCCCAAGGGCAAGGGCAAGGCUGCUGGAAUGCUGUCAUUGUCCAUAUGGUUCCGCCGUGGCCAUCCAAAGUGGCUAGUACAGCUCUGACUCUGGUACCCUCGCUGGGCACCCAAGAGCCUCUGUCCAUCUCUGAGACUAUUUUUCUUCUUUUGAAAAAUGAGGCGUUUAGAUUGGGUGGUUUAAAAAAAUAGCCAAAGCCUGACAUCGUCUGUAUCUGGGCCUUCUUUCCCGAAGCACGUUGUCACCGUGGUAAGUUUCCGUUUGUGGGUGUAAAUGUGUGACUGGCCCGGUCUCCCUGCUGGACCAUGGGCUCCCCCGGGGUAGAAACCAUUUUCCCCUGGGUGUGGUGCAUCCUCCGGCAACAGCGGGUCCUCAGCAAACGUUGGUUAAAGAAAUGGCUGCCUGGUCGAAUUUUCAAGCACCAUCCUCCUCUCAGCAUGAAUAGAGAGCCCAGCCCAGCUCCGCGGAUCACCCGGGGACUCCGUGCUGGCCCCCAGCCCCAAACGAGACACUUAAGAG